CGUGUCGCGCAUAUCUGCAUAUCAAUAAGCGGAGGAAAAGGCAGACAAAGCAGAUGACCGGCUACCUACGCUUAGGAUGUUGACGAGACUGUCGAUCUCAUCUAUACAUGACUCUGUGCAUAUCAAUAAGCGGAGGAAAAGAAACUAACAAGGAUUCCCUUAGUAACGGCGAGUGAAGCGGGAAGAGCUCAAAUUUGAAAUCUUCAAGGUUCUACCUUGACGAAUUGUAGUUUAAAGAAGUGUUUUCUGUUAGAUGAGUAGCAAAAGUUCCUUGGAAUGGGACAUCAUAGAGGGUGAGAAUCCCGUAUUUGGUUAUUCAUUCUAGCUUUGUGAUACACUUUCAAAGAGUCGGAUUGUUUGGGAAUGCAGUCCAAAAUGGGUGGUAAAUUUCAUCUAAAGCUAAAUAUUGGCGAGAGACCGAUAGCGAACAAGUACCGUGAGGGAAAGAUGAAAAGAACUUUGAAAAGAGAGUUAAACAGUACGUGAAAUUGUCAAAAGGGAAGCGUUUGACACCAGUGUUGUUUUUCCGAAAAUCAAUUACGAAUGGCUUGAUUUUGUGUUGUAUUGACCUUAUCAGCUUUCUUCACUUUUUUCGAGUCUUUCUUAAUGCACUUUUCGGUUAACAAGUCAACAUCAAUUUCUUUUGUUGUAAAAGAGUAUUCGGAAGGUGGUUUUCUUUUCGGAGAAAGUGUUUAUAGCCCUAUACUUCUACAAUCGGAGAGAUUGAGGUCUGCAGCGUAGAUCCUUCGGGGUUAGAUACACUUUGUGCUAAGUUGUAGCUUUUCAUAGACAACUUGUUGACUAUGUUUAGUCAUGCGGCUUACUCGCUUGUGCUAUUUUACCUACGCUUAGGAUGUUGAAGAUAUGCGCGACACG
rnacentral:rRNA from 1 species